rnacentral:rRNA from 1 species
GCGGCGGACGGGUUAGUAACGCGUGGGAACAUACCCUUCUCUAAGGAAUAGCCUCGGGAAACUGAGAGUAAUACCUUAUAAGCCCUUCGGGGGAAAGAUUUAUCGGUGAAGGAUUGGCCCGCGUAAGAUUAGAUAGUUGGUGGGGUAAUGGCCUACCAAGUCUACGAUCUUUAGCUGGUUUGAGAGGAUGAUCAGCAACACUGGGACUGAGACACGGCCCAGACUCCUACGGGAGGCAGCAGUGGGGAAUCUUAGACAAUGGGGGAAACCCUGAUCUAGCGAUGCCGCGUGUGUGACGAAGGCCUUAGGGUCGUAAAGCACUUUCGCCAAGGAUGAUAAUGACAGUACUUGGUAAAGAAACCCCGGCUAACUCCGUGCCAGCAGCCGCGGUAAUACGGAGGGGGUUAGCGUUGUUCGGAAUUACUGGGCGUAAAGCGCACGUAGGCGGAUAUUUAAGUUAGAGGUGAAAUCCCAGGGCUCAACCCUGGAACUGCCUUUAAUACUGGAUGUCUUGAGUUCGAGAGAGGUAAGUGGAAUUCCAAGUGUAGAGGUGAAAU